rnacentral:misc_RNA from 1 species
AAGACUAUAGACCUGCGGAGUACCUGCGGAAGGAUCAUUAGUGAACGCCCUCACGGGCUUAUAACUAUUCCAAACCUCUGUGAACCGUGCCCUUCGGGGCUAUUUUACAAACAUGGUGUAACGAACGUCAUAUAUCAUAACAAAACAAAACUUUCAACAAUGGAUCUCU